UUGAUUUUCAGAUUUUUCGUCCAAAACGAAAAAUAGAGAGAAAAGAAAAUUCUGAAAUUAUAAUUUGAGUUGGUUUUGGAAAAGGAUUAGAUUUUUGUAAAUACUUAUCUUUUGGUGAAACCCUAGAUUUACAUAUAUAUAUAUACCCCCAAAACACCAAAAAAAAAAUUCUCACGUAAUACACUUUCUUCAUCUUUUUGACGGAAACUUCGUAGAAGGCGAUUUUUAGUUGAUAUUGCUAUACUUGGGACGCGUUUGAGGUUGGUGAAAGGGACUACGUUGCAGGAAUGAGUGAAUUUAUAGUUUUUAAGUUCACCUAGUUUAAUAAACACUACAGUACUGCCAUUUGAGAUUGUUUAGUUUUGUUUGGUAUAAAGUAGACAACUUAGUUUGGUUUAUUUUGAUACUUUGGUUUGUGAGUAAAAUUUUUAUUUCUAAUAAUUAGCCUUGCAUUUAUUUUGAACAAUAGAUGCGGCGGUAACACCCUAAAGGUUUGGUCAGAUAUUUUAAUGAAAAGUGAAUAUUUUAUAAAGUUUUAGAACCAAAGUUUUGGGGUGUUACAAAUUGGUAUUCAGAGCUUAGGUUAUAAUAAAUAUAAAUUAGGAGUUAAUAAAAUUUGAUAAAUAAUUACGAGUCU